AACGAACGCUGGCGGCAGGCUUAACACAUGCAAGUCGAACGCAUCCUUCGGGAUGAGUGGCAGACGGGUGAGUAACGCGUGGGAAUCUACCUAUUUCUGCGGAAUAACACAGGGAAACUUGUGCUAAUACCGCAUACGCCUCGUGAGAGGGAAAGAUUUAUCGGAGAUAGAUGAGCCCGCGUCUGAUUAGCUAGUUGGUGGGGUAAUGGUCUACCAAGGCGACGAUCAGUAGCUGGUCUGAGAGGAUGAUCAGCCACACUGGGACUGAGAAACGGCCGAGACUCCUACGGGAGGCAGCAGUGGGGAAUAUUGGACAAUGGGGCAACCCUGAUCCAGACAUGCCGCGUGAGUGAUGAAGGCCCUAGGGUUGUAAAGCUCUUUCACCGGAGAAGAUAAUGACGGUAUCCGGAGAAGAAGCCCCGGCUAACUUCGUGCCAGCCGCCGCAGUAAUAC
rnacentral:rRNA from 1 species